rnacentral:tRNA from 1 species
UCUAAAAUGGCAGAUAAUAUGUAUAAGAUUUAAGCUCUUAUUAUGAAGAUUUUUUUUCUUCUUUUAGAA